AGAGUCAAAAGGGUACGUUCCCUUUGAGAAGAGCUACCUCCUAGUCUUACUAGAUUUGUUCUUCUGAUUGAAGUUUAUCGUCAUAUGAGAAACUUCCUCGCAUCUUUUGUCUAUCAUUAGGGCUUGAUAUAAUCCAAUUAUAUCCUAAAAUCUAUCAUUAUAGAUUUCCAUCCCAUGUUUAUAGACUAUGUCUCCAUAUACAUUCUAUCGUUAUAGAAUGUUUAAAGUCAUAACUUUAACGAAGAAGUAUUCUUUUCAUUUCCAAAAUUAAUAUAUCAUAUAUGUGUCUAUAUAUAUAUAUUCAAAUUUAGGAACAUGAUUAAUUCCCACUAAUCUUUUGUAAACCUAGUAAACAAAAGAUUCAUUUACAUCUUUAUGAGAAAUCAAACGAUUUGAUCUUUCUCUCAUAAGAUGCUUAUAGCUCCCACUAGCUUGCUAAGAUUCAUGGUGGAUGGAUCUCUACAACUUACAUGUCUUGUGAUUCAUAGUUUUAGACAUAUAUUAUCAAGACUAUCUUAAUA
rnacentral:lncRNA from 1 species